rnacentral:rRNA from 1 species
GACGAACGCUGGCGGCGUGCCUAAUACAUGCAAGUCGAACGAGAGCGCCCGGUGCUUGCCCUGGUCAAUCUAGUGGCGAACGGGUGAGUAACACGUGGGUAACCUGCCCAUCAGAGGGGGAUAACAUCCGGAAACGGAUGCUAAAACCGCAUAGGUCUUCGAGCCGCAUGGCUUGAAGAGGAAAAGAGGCGCAAGCUUCUGCUGAUGGAUGGACCCGCGGUGCAUUAGCUAGUUGGUGAGGUAACGGCUCACCAAGGCCGUGAUGCAUAGCCGACCUGAGAGGGUGAUCGGCCACAUUGGGACUGAGACACGGCCCAAACUCCUACGGGAGGCAGCAGUAGGGAAUCUUCCGCAAUGGACGCAAGUCUGACGGAGCAACGCCGCGUGAGUGAAGAAGGUUUUCGGAUCGUAAAACUCUGUUGUUAGAGAAGAACAAGUGCUAGAGUAACUGUUAGCGUCUUGACGGUAGCUAACCAGAAAGCCACGGCUAACUACGUG